rnacentral:rRNA from 1 species
UUUAGAGGAAGUAAAAGUCGUAACAAGGUCUCCGUAGGUGAACCUGCGGAGGGAUCAUUACAAGUGACCCCGGUCUAACCACCGGGAUGUUCAUAACCCUUUGUUGUCCGACUCUGUUGCCUCCGGGGCGACCCUGCCUUCGGGCGGGGGCUCCGGGUGGACACUUCAAACUCUUGCGUAACUUUGCAGUCUGAGUAAACUUAAUUAAUAAAUUAAAACUUUUAACAACGGAUCUCUUGGUUCUGGCAUCGAUGAAGAACGCAGCGAAAUGCGAUAAGUAAUGUGAAUUGCAGAAUUCAGUGAAUCAUCGAAUCUUUGAACGCACAUUGCGCCCCCUGGUAUUCCGGGGGGCAUGCCUGUUCGAGCGUCAUUUCACCACUCAAGCCUCGCUUGGUAUUGGGCAACGCGGUCCGCCGCGUGCCUCAAAUCGACCGGCUGGGUCUUCUGUCCCCUAAGCGUUGUGGAAACUAUUCGCUAAAGGGUGUUCGGGAGGCUACGCCGUAAAACAACCCCAUUUCUAAGGUCGACCUCGGAUCAGGUAGGGAUACCCGCUGAACUUAAGCAUAUCAAUAAG